rnacentral:ncRNA from 1 species
GUUAUCAAGAAAGGCGGAGGGAUUAGACCCUAUGAAGCCUUAGCAACCCUUUAGAAAUAAAGAAGGUGCUACAUUCUACUCAAUUAUUUACAAUUGGAUAGAUAA